rnacentral:rRNA from 1 species
AACGCGAAGAACCUUACCUACCCUUGACAUGUACGGAAGCCCUCAGAGAUGGGGGUGUGCCCGAAAGGGAGCCGUAACGCAGGUGCUGCAUGGCUGUCGUCAGCUCGUGUCGUGAGAUGUUGGGUUAAGUCCCGCAACGAGCGCAACCCUUGUCCCUAGUUGCUACGCAAGGGCACUCUAGGGAGACUGCCGGUGACAAACCGGAGGAAGGUGGGGAUGACGUCAAGUCCUCAUGGCCCUUAUGGGUAGGGCUUCACACGUCAUACAAUGGCCGGUACAGAGGGUUGCCAAAGCGCGAGCUGGAGCCAAUCCCAGAAAGCCGGUCGUAGUCCGGAUUGCAGUCUGCAACUCGACUGCAUGAAGUCGGAAUCGCUAGUAAUCGCGGAUCAGCAUGUCGCGGUGAAUACGUUCCCGGGUCUUGUACACACCG